rnacentral:ncRNA from 1 species
ACAACGAAGAGUUUGAUCCUGGCUCAGGAUGAACGCUAGCGACAGGCCUAACACAUGCAAGUCGAGGGGUAACAGGGGAGCUUGCUUCCGCUGACGACCGGCGCACGGGUGAGUAACGCGUAUGCAACCUACCUGUAACAGGGGGAUAGCUCCCUGAAAGGGGAAUUAACACCGCAUAAGACUACGGCAUCACAUGGUGCAGUGGUAAAAUAUUUAUAGGUUACAGAUGGGCAUGCGUGACAUUAGCUAGUUGGCGGGGUAACGGCCCACCAAGGCUACGAUGUCUAGGGGUUCUGAGAGGAAGGUCCCCCACACUGGUACUGAGACACGGACCAGACUCCUACGGGAGGCAGCAGUGAGGAAUAUUGGUCAAUGGGCGCAAGCCUGAACCAGCCAUGUCGCGUGCAGGAAG